rnacentral:rRNA from 1 species
UUAACAAAAACAUGUCCUUUUGAUUUUAAUUUAAGGUCUGAUCUGCCCACUGAUGAUUUAAAUGGCCGCGAUAUUUUGAUCGUGCGAAGGUAGCAUAGUCAUUAGCUUUUUAAUUGAAAGCUGGUAUGAAUGAUUGGACGAGAAGCUUUCUGUCUCUAUUUUAUAGUUUGAAUUUUAUUUUUGAGUUAAAAAGCUUAAAUAUUUUUGUAAGACGAGAAGACCCUAUAGAGUUUUAUAUUUAAUAUUUUUUAUUUAAAUUGUGGGUUUAAUUUCUUUUAAUUUAUUAAGUAUUUAGUUGGGGUGACGGAAAAAUUUAAUUAACUUUUUCUUUUUAAAAUAUAAAUUUAUAGAUAUUUGACUUAAUUUUUUUGUUAUAAGAUUAAAUUACCUUAGGGAUAACAGCGUAAUUUUUCUAAAGAGUUCAUAUCGAAAGAAAAGAUUGCGACCUCGAUGUUGGAUUAAAGUUAAAUUUUGGUGUAGAAGCUAAAAAUUUUAGUCUGUUCGACUAUUGAAUCUUUACAUGAUCUGAGUU